rnacentral:rRNA from 1 species
UUGGAGGGCAAGUCUGGUGCCAGCAGCCGCGGUAAUUCCAGCUCCAAUAGCGUAUAUUAAAGUUGUUGCAGUUAAAAAGCUCGUAGUUGAAUUUCGGGAUCAAUGUUUCGGUCAUGCCGUUGGUAUGUACUGAUAUUAUUGAUUUCUCACCUUCUAAAGAACCGUAAUGCCAUUAAUUUGGUGUCACGGGGAAUUAGGACUGUUACCUUGAAAAAAUUAGAGUGUUUAAAGCAGGCUCACGCUUGAAUACAUUAGCGUGGAAUAAUGAAAUAGGACAUCCGAUUCUAUUUUGUUGGUUUCUAGGAUCGAUGUAAUGAUUAAUAGGGAUAGUUGGGGGCACUAGUAUUCAAUUGUCAGAGGUGAAAUUCUUGGAUUUAUUGAAGACUAACUACUGCGAAAGCAUUUGCCAAGGAUGUUUUCAUUAAUCAAGAACGAAAGUUAGGGGAUCGAAGACGAUCAGAUACCGUCGUAGUCUUAACCAUAAACUAUGCCGACUAGGGAUCGGAUGAUGUUAAUUUUUUAAUGACUCAGGCACCAGACUUGCCCUCCAA